rnacentral:lncRNA from 1 species
UUUUUUUUUUUUUUUGGUUGGAUGAUUUCCAUUUAUUUUAUGUUUGAGUACUUUUCUUUUUAGAUUUUGUGAAUAUUAUGUUUGGUUUUGAUUUGUGGUUGCGCUGUUUUUUUUUUUUAAAAAAAGUAUGUUAACCCCAUCCUGUAUCUGUUUGCUUUAGCCUGAUAGUCAUAUAGGCUCAAACACAAUAUUAAAAAAAAAAAGUCUCUAUUUUCUUACUUUCCUUCCCCACAUUCAAUGAUUUUGAAGUCCUUUUUUAACAUCUUCAUGUUUGUCUUUUUGCUGUUCCUUGUGUUUAUCAUCACUUUUAAAGUAAUUAAAACUACUAGCACAGUAAUUUCUUUUUUUCUCUCUUUUAGAUCUGUAUGCUGGCUUAUUUAAGUUAUUGCAUUCCAAUUAUAGUUUCCUCCAUCCUAUUUCUUCUUACUUUUUUUAUUUAGAGAAGGCUUUUCAAUAUUUCUUUUAGAAUGGCUUUAGAAUUGCUAUACUCUUUUAGCAUUUGUUGGAGAAAUUCUUUAUUUCCUCUUCUAUUUUAAAUGAUAUUUGUGCUAGAUAGAAUAUUCUAGGCUGCAAAUUUUUUCCUUUCAGAACUUUGAAUAUAUCUUGCCACUCUCUUCUGGCCUGUAGUGUUUCUGUAGAGAAAUCAGCUGAUAGCCUUAUGGGGGUUCCCUUAUAAUUAACCCUUUGUUUUUCUCCUGCUGCCUUCAGAAUUAUCUCUUUAAUUUUUGCCAUUUUUGUUAUAAUAUGUCUUGCUGUGGGCCUAUUUGGGUUUAGUGUGUUUGGGGCCCUCUAUGCUUCCUGUAUCUUGAUCUCCUUUAGAUUUGGAAUUUUCAGACAUAAUUUCUUCAAAUAUAUUUUCAAUCUCCUUUUCUUUAUCUUCUCCUUCUGGAAUUCCUAUUAUGCAUAGAUUGGUCCACUUUAUACUACCCCAUAGAUCUCUUAUAUGGCUUUCAUGUUUUUUCACUUGGUUUUCUGUCUUCUAUCCUGAUUGGGUGAUUUCCAUUAUUCUAUCUUCCAAGUCACUAAUUCAUGCCUCUGCAUUAUUCAUUUUGCGCUUUAGUAACUUUAGCUCAGUUUGCAUCUCUGAAAAUGAAUUUUCUAAUUUUUCUAUGUUCCUCCUUAUAUUUUCUAGUUCUUUUCUAAAGGAAUCUGCAUUACUGUUCAUAUGCUCUCUCAAUUGCUUGAUAUUCAGCCUUAAUUCCUUUAGUAUUUUCAUAUUUUCCUUUUGAACUCAAAGUCUGUCUGACUGCAGAGGUCUGUUUCAUUGUUUAAUGCUUCAUGUGAAAUCUCCUGUUCCUUUAACUGGGAAUGCUUUCUGACCUUCUUCAUCUUGCUUAUGUUUUUCUUUUUCGCUGAGUUUUGGGAAGCCAAACUGUAAGUCCUGGAGGUCUACUUCUAUGCAAGAGCUCCCCUUUCUAUUUUAGGGGGGUAACUUUUUAUUUUUGACAUGGGAGUUUGUAUGUUUGCUGACUCUUUCUUCAGUGUGAGCAGGCUGUUAUCACCAGGGUGCUGAGUAUAUUUCCAGUGAGAAGGAGGAAAUGGGUAGAGCUAGUAGUCAGUGCCUGGUUGCUGGGCUCUUAAUAGCAACAGGACCUGCAGGAAGGUGGCACAUGCUACUCCUAACUGCAGGACCCUGGGAAGUGGUAAUGAGCCUUAAGCAAAUUUACAAGGUGCCCAGAGCAUUUGGCAGUGGCAGCAGAAGGGUGUGUGAAUUCCCAGGAGACUAAGAGCAACAACAGGUAGUAUUCGAUUUCAUUGCCCUCCUCUGAGGUGAUUGGAGCCACAAGUCAUGCCUAUUCAGGACCACUAGUGGCAGUGAGCCACACCCACCUCUGGAGUCAGUGAUAACUGUGGUGGUUUGCCUCUGCCACCUGCACAGAAGCACCCCAUCUCACUUAGU